rnacentral:rRNA from 1 species
GACGAACGCUGGCGGCGUGCCUAAUACAUGCGAGUCGAGCGGACAGAAGGGAGCUUGCUCCCGGAAGUUAGCGGCGGACGGGUGAGUAACACGUGGGCAACCUACCCUGUAGAUCGGGAUAACAUCGAGAAAUCGGUGCUAAUACCGGAUAAUCAUUUGAAGCGCAUGCUUCGAAUGUAAAAGAUGGCUCCGGCUAUCACUACGGGAUGGGCGCGCGGCGCAUUAGCUAGUUGGUAAGGUAAUGGCUUACAAAGGCAACGAUGCGUAGCCGACCUGAGAGGGUGAUCGGCCACACUGGGACUGAGACACGGCCCAGACUCCUACGGGAGGCAGCAGUAGGGAAUCUUCCGCAAUGGACGAAAGUCUGACGGAGCAACGCCGCGUGAGUGAUGAAGGUUUUCGGAUCGUAAAGCUCUGUUGUUAGGGAAGAACAAGUGCCGUUUGAAUAAGGCGGCACCUUGACGGUUCCUAACCAGAAAGCCACGGCUAACUACGUGCCAGCCGCCGCGGUAAAAC